UUCAUGGUCAUACACUCAACAACCCACUUACAAGAGUACCACCCAUUAAUAUAUAGCAUCUGUUCCUUGGUGAUGAUGACUAAGUACAUGAGGAACAAUAUGCAAGGACUUGUGCUACUUUCUCUUCUUGUUGUGGUGUGUUUGACUUGUCCUGGAGGCACAUAUGGUGAAAUCAUAAACGACAAGCGGAGAAAAAUGAUGAGAAAAGUAAGCCAUGUAACCAGACCCCCUUGUUAUAAAGAUGGGCACCAGCUCCCGGGGCGAGAAUUUUGUUGUGAAAUAGAUAACUUGUGCUGGCCGAAUCUCGGAGAAUGCUUCAUCAAUUGUCCCUGCAAGAUUAAUUGCACACUAGCAGCAACAACAACACAAUAGUUUUGUCAUCUCCCCAUUUUGGGUGGAUAAAUAUCAACCUUAUGGUUCUCAAAAUAAUGAUGUGUUGAUAAGAUCCUAAUUUUUUUAUGUUCUAGAAAUCAGUUGUGUUAUUUUAAUAUUCAAUAAAACUAGUGGGUUGCUUGCACAA